UACGAAGGGGGCUAGCGUUGUUCGGAAUUACUGGGCGUAAAGCGCGCGUAGGCGGUGUCCCAUGUCAGAGGUGAAAUCCCGGAGCUCAACUUCGGAAUUGCCUUUGAAACGGGGACACUUGAGUCCGAGAGAGGAUGGCGGAAUUCCUAGUGUAGAGGUGAAAUUCGUAGAUAUUAGGAAGAACACCGGUGGCGAAGGCGGCCAUCUGGCUCGGUACUGACGCUCAGGUGCGAAAGCGUGGGGAGCAAACAGG
rnacentral:rRNA from 1 species